AAAAAAAAAAAAAAAACUAUCACCAAUUGCCAUUAUAAAUUUUGUGCCUUUUUUCAUUUUAUUAUUUAAUAUUAAUAAUGAUUGUUUUUUGUUUGAAUAUGUA
rnacentral:ribozyme from 14 species